rnacentral:rRNA from 1 species
GACGAACGCUGGCGGCGUGCCUAAUACAUGCCAGUUGAGCGCUGAAGGUUGGUACUUGUACCGACUGGAUGAGCAGCGAACGGGUGAGUAACGCGUGGGGAAUCUGCCUUUGAGCGGGGGACAACAUUUGGAAACGAAUGCUAAUACCGCAUAAAAACUUUAAACACAAGUUUUAAGUUUGAAAGAUGCAAUUGCAUCACUCAAAGAUGAUCCCGCGUUGUAUUAGCUAGUUGGUGAGGUAAAGGCUCACCAAGGCGAUGAUACAUAGCCGACCUGAGAGGGUGAUCGGCCACAUUGGGACUGAGACACGGCCCAAACUCCUACGGGAGGCAGCAGUAGGGAAUCUUCGGCAAUGGACGAAAGUCUGACCGAGCAACGCCGCGUGAGUGAAGAAGGGUUUCGGAUCGGAAAACUCUGUUGGUAGAGAAGAACGUUGGUGAGAGUGGAAAGCUCAUCAAGUGACGGUAACUACCCAGAAAGGGACGGCUAACUACGUG